rnacentral:lncRNA from 1 species
GCGGGAAGGUGGGCUGGGGGCGGGGAGCUCUGGGGGCGUGCCGGCUGCGCGGGGACACUAGCUCUGCCUGCUGCCACUGGCUCCAAGUUCCCACCCUCGCUCUCCCGCGGAGCCUGCCUGAGCCCGCCCCUUCGGUGCGGAGGUGCAAACGCCGCCGCGGUCAGCCCAGCCUGCCUUGCCGCGCGAUUUGGGCCCGUUCGGCCACCGCGGUCGGCUGGGAGCCGGCUGGGAGGACCCGGUGGCUGCUUCAUCUCGGCCUGCAGUGCCCCGCAGGGCCCAAGCUUCUCCUCGCGGUCUCCGGAGCCCGGUUCCUGGCCUGGACGCCUUGCAGGGGCCGGAGAACGGCUAAGAUAUUUCCUGCUUCGGAGAGCACUUUAAGCAAGGAAGGCUUUCCUUGGCUUCGCCUGCAUUCCAUAAAAUACUCAUUGCCUUUUCGCUCUUUAGAUAAUCCAGUUCUCUGAACAACAGAAGUUGAGAGACUGGGGAGCAAGUGGAAGUGGAGGCCAACCCAGUGCCAUACCCUGUCACAAGCAAGGUCCCAAGACCAUCCUAAUGAAGGCCACCACAUUUAAGUACUGGAAAAGAGAAAGAAGAGAGUUGAAGAGUCACGUGUCCUCACCAUCCAGUUCAUCUACUAUUACUGGCUGCUGUUGCCACUGUUUAUUAUCUUUUUGUUUGUUUAACUAAUACCAUAGGGUUAAUGAAAAAUAAAUAAUAUAGGAUGGUUUUAAAUAAAG